AAUAUCAAAGGUGAGCCAGUACAGGAUGGACCCGCGUCUGAUUAGCUAGUUGGUAAGGUAACGGCUUACCAAGGCGACGAUCAGUAGCCGACCUGAGAGGGCGAUCGGCCACAUUGGAACUGAGACACGGUCCAAACUCCUACGGGAGGCAGCAGUGGGGAAUAUUGCACAAUGGGCGAAAGCCUGAUGCAGCAACGCCGCGUGAGUGAUGAAGGCCUUCGGGUCGUAAAAC
rnacentral:rRNA from 1 species